rnacentral:rRNA from 1 species
GAUGAACGCUGGCGGCGUGCCUAAUACAUGCAAGUCGAGCGAACGGACGAGAAGCUUGCUUCUCUGAUGUUAGCGGCGGACGGGUGAGUAACACGUGGAUAACCUACCUAUAAGACUGGGAUAACUUCGGGAAACCGGAGCUAAUACCGGAUAAUAUUUUGAACCGCAUGGUUCAAAAGUGAAAGACGGUCUUGCUGUCACUUAUAGAUGGAUCCGCGCUGCAUUAGCUAGUUGGUAAGGUAACGGCUUACCAAGGCAACGAUGCAUAGCCGACCUGAGAGGGUGAUCGGCCAGACUGGAACUGAGGCACGGUCCAGACUCCUACGGGAAGCAGCAGUAGGGAAUCUUCCGCAAUGGGCGAAAGCCUGACGUAGCAACGCCGCGUGAGUGAUGAAGGUCUUCGGAUCGUAAAACUCUGUUAGUAGGGAAGAACAUAUGUGUAAGUAACUGUGCACAUCUUGACGGUACCUAAUCAGAAAGCCACGGCUAACUACGUG